rnacentral:lncRNA from 1 species
UGGCAAUUAAGAGAAAUGUGUACAUUGAAAAACUUCAGGAUUAAACUAACAACGCUGGGCUCUAUAUGGAAAACCUAAUAUUACAUGUUGAGCCAUCAUAUUAAACAAUAAUUCUACUUAAAUCAAGAAAUGUGGGGUCCAAAUGUAGCCAAAAUAAGUGUAACUACUGAGCAACGAUGAACAUCUCCAAGAGAAAGCAUAAUGAUAGAGGAGAAACCCAUCCACCAUCGUCCUUAACUAUCUUUAAUUUCCCAGAUAUGUAACAACAUUCACCACAAGAAACUAAUUAAAAUAAAUUAAUUAAAUAAAACCAACCUUCA